rnacentral:lncRNA from 1 species
CACUCGCCAUUCCUGAGUAUAAUUACACAAUUAACCGAGGCGUCAAUGAAUUAUCAAUCAUGUAAUGUCUUGUAUGAGACGUAACAUUUUUGCUCAGGCUCUUCACGUGCACAAAAAAAACUUUGACUAAACUUGAUUUCAAAUGUGUGAUUCCAAUUUUACGCUCCUGUUUUCCUUGGUGUGCUCUGAAAAUAUCAUUCUUGUUGGACAAGAACCGGAAUUUCAAUUUAAGGAAUUUUGACGAUACUUAAUUUUAGCCAUACUAUUGUGUGUGAGCUCCUGCUUCCAAGAGGAUACUCUGAAUAUCAUGCAUUUUCUUUGCUUUCUUUCAUUAGACUUUUGUUUUUUCUUAUAACCCGCUGCGGGAAGUGAGGACUUGUGGUAGCAAGGAAUGUAACCAGAGUUUUAGGAAUAAUGGUUUGGAGUAUCUUCAGAGAAUUCCUGGUGCAUUUUCUUCACAGAGGACUAAUUUCAAUCUACACUUUUGCCAUUCUGUGCAACUGGUUGAUAGAUUUCGGGCAAGCUCUGAAUCCACCUGCUUAUGUCGAGUUUAGAAAAGAGGCUGAGAUGAAGAAUAAAUUGCUGGAAAAUGCUCUCAUACCGGAAUUGUUAAAAGAACCGCCGAAACACGCAGCUGAGUUCACAUUUCCUAGUGGAGCAAAGGCAGAUUUUGGUAACAAGAUACCUCCAAAGCAAGUAUCUGGGGCUCCAAGACAUGUAACAUUUAAGUGUGAACCAGACGAACUAUUCGCGAUUCUUUUAACUGAUUUUGACGCUCCAUCCAGAAGUGACCUCAUAAGCGCGAAUGGGUUCACUGGGCGGUUGGCAAUUGUGAGGCAAAUGAACAUGUUGACGGAGUGCAAAUUAUUGCCCCUCCUAUGUUUCCAAUUAAUCCACAGAGAGGAACAGGCUUUCAUAGAUACGUAUUUUAUGUUUACAAACAACCGAACAACACUCGAAUAGAAUUCCUGGAAGGUUUUACAAACACGACGGAGUUUGGUAGAAGUAAUUAUGACGUCAAAAAUUUGCAAAGACGUAAACUAGGAGAUAUUUACGCUAUGAACUUUUUCCUGUCAGAAUGGACACCGUAAGAAGAAAAGAAAUCUUUCAUGGAACCUGAAUCAUGCUUUGAAUAAUCUUGAUGAUU